rnacentral:rRNA from 1 species
GACGAACGCUGGCGGCGUGCUUAACACAUGCAAGUCGAACGGAGAGGCCCUGCUUUUGUGGGGUGCUCGAGUGGCGAACGGGUGAGUAACACGUGAGUAACCUGCCCUUGACUUUGGGAUAACUUCAGGAAACUGGGGCUAAUACCGGAUAGGAGCUCCUGCUGCAUGGUGGGGGUUGGAAAGUUUCGGCGGGUGGGGAUGGACUCGCGGCUUAUCAGCUUGUUGGUGGGGUAGUGGCUUACCAAGGCUUUGACGGGUAGCCGGCCUGAGAGGGUGACCGGCCACAUUGGGACUGAGAUACGGCCCAGACUCCUACGGGAGGCAGCAGUGGGGAAUAUUGCACAAUGGGCGGAAGCCUGAUGCAGCAACGCCGCGUGCGGGAUGACGGCCUUCGGGUUGUAAACCGCUUUCGCCUGUGACGAAGCGUGAGUGACGGUAAUGGGUAAAGAAGCACCGGCUAACUACGUG